GAUAUAUCGAUUGAUGACACUUCAUUGCAUGUUUCUUUGGAGGCAGAAGCUGUAAGUCCAUACGCAAUAAUUUUAAAGUGGUGCUUAAAAUCAAAUGCAUUGCUCUCAUGUGAAUUUGAUUUACAAAUAUCAACAAAAGGAAAUAUUUACAAAUCUAUUUACAACGGCCCUGAGAAGUGUUUCACAGCUCACGAACUCAAUCCUGGAACACUUUAUACUUUCAG
rnacentral:lncRNA from 1 species